UGCGGCCGAACUCCGGUUGAUCCUGCCGGACCCGACUGCUAUCGGGGUGGCACUAAGCCAUGGGAGUCGCACAUCCCACCGCUGUGGGGUGUGGCGAACGGCUGAGUAACACGUGGCUAACCUACCCUCGGGACGGGGACAACUCCGGGAAACUGGAGCUGAUCCCCGAUAGGCGGGGAGUCCUGGAACGGUUCUCCGCCAAAAAGGACUAGGAGGGGUUAACGCUUCUAGUCCGCCCGAGGAUGGGGCUGCGGCCCAUCAGGUAGUUGGCGGGGUAAUGGCCCGCCAAGCCUAUAACGGGUGGGGGCCGUGAGAGCGGGAGCCCCCAGAUGGGCACUGAGACAAGGGCCCAGGCCCUACGGGGCGCACCAGGCGGGAAACCUCCGCAAUGCGGUAACCCGUGACGGGGUCACCCCGAGUGCUCCCCUUAUGGGGAGCUUUUCCCCGCUGCAGGAAGGCGGGGGUAAUAAGUGGGGGGCAAGACUGGUGUCAGCCGCCGCGGUAAUACCAGCCCCACGAGUGGUCGGGACGGUUAUUGGGCCUAAAGCGCCCGUAGCCGGCCCAGC
rnacentral:rRNA from 1 species